CACCUAGGAGGAGACAAUCAAAAUAUGGACAGAAAAUAAAUAUUUAAUAUGUAAAUGGUAGGUGACAAAUCUAGCCACACAAUUGUGCAAACAACCCAUCGGCUAGUUUUAUUGAAUAUUAAAGUAACAUAUUUCAUUUCUAAAACAUACAAAAUUUAUGAUCUCAUCAGCACAUAAUUAUUUUGAGAACCAUAAGGUUGGGAUUUAUCCACCCAAAAUAGGGGUGAUAACGAAACUAUUGCGUUGCUGCUGCUGCUGGUGUGCAAUUAAUCUUGCAUGGACAGUUGAUGAAGCAUUCUCCGAGAUUUGGCCAGCACAAGUUAUCUAUUUUACAGCAAAAUUCCCGUCCUGGGAGUUGGUGUCCAUCUUUAUAACAAGGGGGUCUCGUUACAUGGCUUACUUUCCUCAUCAUGUUGCUCCGCUUGUCAUUUAUGAUUUUGCCUAAUUAACAUAAAAUAAAGAAUACACUUAUCAUCUCAUCAUAUAAACAAUAAAAGUCCACAAUCUCAAUCGCCCCAUAAAAAUCGAGUUGUUAAUUACCAUAUGUGCCUCCAAGACAAGUCAAACACACCACAAGAAGAAAAGAAAGUAGCACAAGUCCUUGCACAUUGUUCCUCAUGUACUUGGUCAUCAUCACCGGGGAACAGAGGCUAUUAAUGGGUGGUACUCUUGUAUGUGGAGUUGAUGAGUGUAUGACCGUGAAAUGCUUGCUCCAUGAAUGCUUCAUAUAUAUAUAGUGAAAGCUUCUCCACGUUGAUGUGUGAAGUUGAAGAAAAUAUUAAUGCUUAGAGUUAUGGCUUGUUGGAAUGUCCAGUUUUAGUUUCACUUCUAAAGAUUCAUGGUUCCUUCUAAAGUUUUUUUUUCAAAUUGAUGCUUUGUCAUAUCUUGUAAGUUACUUUAAUGCCCCAUCUAGAAUUGAUCGCUUAUUGUUUCCGAGGGGUAGAAUUGACCUAUUAUAAUGGGUAGCAAAAAUCCGGUGCAUGUUAAUAUUAUAUUCAAGGCAUUGAUAAUAAUUGGUAUAGUAUCAAUAAUUCCUAUAUAUAUGAUGCCUUAUCUAUAUAAUUAUUAAUUUCUCUCUUGGUACAAGAGAACAAAAUUUAAAAUUCACCAAGACUCAUCCACUUAACAUUGGACUUGCUUUUUUAAUGUAUAUAAGAAACUGUUCUUAAGUAUAUGAACAAUUUACAUGUACAUUUUUUUCUUUUUUGUAUGAACAUAGAUUAAUUAUGGGAUGACCAUUUUUGAAAUAAAAGUUGACGAUAUAUUGUCAUAUACAUGAACAUCUUAUAUCGAGGUACUUGGGCAUUUUUUUUCAUUUUUCUAUACACAAAUAUUUCUCCAAUAUUAAGUCGAUUUUGAUUUUGUAAGUAGAUUAGAUUCCCCGAAAUUGUCUUUAUUAGAAUAGUAAAAAAAAUCGCGUUGGCCCGGCUAGGGCAAAUUUCGUUAGGCAGAGCUUCCCAAUUCCUAGGACUCCCUAUACGCUCCUCCUUGCGGCUAACAACCUCCCCUUCGCAGAACGCGCGCCUGACUGGCACGGCCCAUUGACGAUACGACUGGACAUCAAGGAGCGGGAGAGUAGGCACUAACCCGGCCCGCUUUAGCAUCAUUUUUUAUUUUUAAAACAUUUCUUUGGAAAAUGAACAAGCAUUGAUUAAUGUAAACAUAUUUUAAAAACUUUUGAACAUUUUAGAAAAUUUAAAAUAUCUUAAAACCCCAAUUAUUUUUGAAAUUUCGUACAUUUUUUGUAAAAAAUGAACACUUUUGAAAAUUUUGAACAUUAUUUGCAAACUAUGACCUUUUCUUGGAAAACCAACAAAUAAUGAAAAACGUGAUAGUUUUAUAAUUUGUACAACAUUUUUAGAAAUUAUGAAUUUUUAGAAAAACAAUUUUUGAAAUUCCGAACAAAACAUGAGAAUGGGAACAUUUUUUGAAAACUAGAACAUUUUGAAAAUUUCUUUUUUUUUUGAAAUGUCCGAACAUUUUCAAAAAGGAGACUUUUUGAAAAAGAAAAUAAGAAAAAUAAACAAGAUAAAAAAGAAUCCAAAGAAAACCGGUAAAAGAAAUAGAAGGAAAAAAGAACAAACAAAAAUACGAGUAAAAAUCACAUCAGAACCUUUUGGAAGGUUCCGAAAAUCGGUAAAAGCCCGGAAGGAAUAUUCUGAAAGUUCGUAAAACUUGAGCGGCGCGGCCAAAAUAGCGGGGCUGUUCCCGAGCGCUAGAGUCAGUUCUGUGUGCAAGCGCCCACAAUUUGACUUUAAAUGCUCAAAUAGGGUUUCCGCCAUUUCUCUUGUUUCUUGUUGCCUCAUAUGAGUUUGUUGUUGUUUGGUUCAUAUCUGGGUUGAAGCCCCAAUCACACCCCACCUACCGUUUUAUGCCCUUACGUGAGUGGCCUUCCUAGAGAUGUCAUGGCGUCAGUGCCGACGCCUUCCCUCUCCCCCGUACGAGCCCCUUACAAUUGACGCUCUUGGCUGCAAUCGCGUUUCCCUUCGACCUCACCGUGUUCCUGCAAAUUGUCCAAGUGUUUUGGGGUAUAUACUCCUUGGAGCUUUCUGGCAUCAAUAUUAGUUAGACCUCACCUCAACUGGAUUAACUUUGCUGAGAAGACUUUGGAUAUAGUGAGACCUCUGGUUUGAAAUUGAUAAGUUCCCACCAAGUCAAGUUGUCCAAGUUUGAUCUAUGCACAUCAACUCAUUACUUACUCAACUUAUUUCCUUACAUAUCAAUGUAUGACCCAGCUUUAGCAUCGAGAUGUCAAAAAGGCAAAGAGGGACUAAACGACCCAAGGUGGUAGCCCUAGUCCUCCUCCUCCAUGGACUCCUCCGAGUCGUUGUCACUGUCCUCCUGGUGCUCCUCGUGAACGUCCUCAUCCUCGCCAUCGGCACCAUGGAAACUAGACGUAGUAGUGUUGGAGUCAUCGGAGUCGGUCCACUUGUUGCGUCUGCCCAAUCCACCUAUCCUCUGAGGUCAUCUUCUUCUCAGAGCCACUCUGCACCUCAAUCUCAAGGUUCCUAUAAUCAUGGUGACCUGGCACUGCCGGGCAAUCUUCUCAGCCACAUGUGCCUUGUACAUAUUCUUCUGAGUAUCCACCUGAAUGCAGAAGAGCUUCCUCGUCUUCUUCUUGAGUUUGAUGUCCCAAGUAGGCUGAUCCGAGGGUGGUACAUAGUCAGGCUCCUUAGAUCCAUCAGACUUUGCUCCUGGAAUAUUGAUCUCUAGUGCAUCUGGCAGAACUCCCUAGUUCUCCUUCUGCCUGAGCUUCAUCUCAUCAUGAGUGGCAAGCUUGCCAGUCUCUAGGCGCUCAUCUAGAACCUGAGCUGCCCAAGUAGUAGUGAUGAUCUUGAAGAGAUAGGACCCAUAGAUGGGGACCUUCCUAUCAUACAUAGCAGCAGUGAGCUCAUACCACAUCACAUGUCAAACGUCUAGCAUGCUAGUCUUGUUCUUUGCUACUUGUGAGUUGCGUUGGGAUUUCCCCGAAGAGAAGAGGAUGAUGCAGUAUAGUAGAGAUAAUUAUUUCCCUUAGUUAAGAAUAUAGAUUAUCAAUUCAGUAGGAGAACCACAUAAAACCUCGUGAACAACACAUACGCACAAAAGAACAAAUACUUGCACCCAACACAAACAAGGGUUGUCAAUCCCUUGGAGGUUAAUUGCAAGAAUCAAGUCUGAUAAUGAUAGAUAGCUAAACAAAAACACAAAAUAAAAUAAAGGUAAAUAAAUUGCAACAAUGUAUUUUUGGAUUUUAAUAUAUGAUAAAAAUAGACCCCGAUCCCUAAAUAUGUUGCGGCUAGAUUAGUAAAUAGACACAGAACCUUAGAGCUAUUGCUCAAUCCAUCAAUCACUGUAACGCCUAUACACAAGCAAUAUACAUGAGCAGGGGGUAGGAUUUUACCAUGCGUGAGGGUCUGAAACUAGAUAAACCCCUUCUUACUUCCCAUUUGGUUUAAUCGUCUGGCCAGAAUACCUUAUCAAGUGAUCUGCCAAAAAUAACACCACCACCUCAUAAAUGGGCUAGGGUCAGGUAAGACAUUUUUUCUCCCUUUUUGUUAUUUUGUUUCUACUUCCGUAUCUUUUGAAAAAUAUUUUAAAUACAUAUAUUUUGGAAUAUUCUUCAUCAAUUAUUAAUAACAUUCACCGUGCUUGGAAAAAUGGUCAUGAAAUGUAAUUAUUUGUUUUCACAAUUUGAUAAAUUCUUCGUAUCGUUCAAAAGAAUAUUUGUAUCAUUCUCAAAAUGUUCGCAUGUUUGAAAAAAUGUGUGAUUUAAAAAAAAUUAUAUAUAUAUAGUCAAUUUUUUCGAUUUCAAUAGUAAAAAUACCACUAACAUAAAAUUCAAAUGUUUGAACUAUUGAAAAAAAUUGACAAUUUUUAUAAAAUUUUAUAACAUAUAAAAGUCUUUGUAAAAUUUCCAAAUAUGUUCAUAAACACUUACAAAAUAUUUUUCACUUUUACGAAUAUGUUGAUGUCUUAAUUUUUUGAAAACUAUCUAUGAAAUUUACAAAAAUGUUCCUAAUAGAAAUGAUAUUACAAAAAAUAUGAAUAUCAAAUGUGUAUAAAAUUUACAAAAUGUUCCUAAUAGAAAUGUUUUCACAACUUUUUGAAACUUCAGAAGUUGGUUUCUAUUUUUUUUCAAAAUUUUGAGCUCCAUGGAGCUCGGGAUCCAAAAAUCCACUCUCUACCAACUAUAUGCAUGUGUCUUGUAGCAAGCCCUAAGCCGAGGGUUGCUACAUGAUCAAUUGCUGACUGGGUAGCUCACGAGUGUUUGACAUCUCUCUCUACAUUGGGUAUCCUUUCACACUUGAAUUUUAAUACACGGAAUGUGCUUUCCUUGUUGUUGCCUCAACAUUACAGCAUAGAAUCAAAGCAAAACUGAUAUUGCUGCCCUUAAAAAAUGUCUCCGUAUCUAUGUUCUUAACAUGCUCAUUGGACUGCAUGGCGAAAGUGAAGGUGUGCGCCUAGCUGGUGCUGGAGCAAACACACUCAUCUGUGACCUCCAAUCUAAGUAUGACAUUUACUCUGUAGCGAGUCCACGGUGCAUGUUGGUUGGAACGCUGCUUAGCAAAUGUAGACUUAAUUUGCAGGCAAGCCAAGAUGAAAUCUGUAGGCCCAUGUGAAUUCCAUCAUAAUCAUGGUCAAUUCAACUCUGAUUUGAAUCCUAAUAAAAAAGUUGGAUCAGCGCUCCUGGAUGGAUAUGUCCAUCACUAGACAUUACAACAGUUGAUAGAGUCGAUAUGACCUGUAGCUAGAGGACGCCGACACCCCUCACUUCCUUUACAUGCACUAAACAAACCCUAGCUUAUCCAACUCAAUUUGCUUUAUGGUUUGUGUGCAAAAGAAGUGUUAAAACCAAACACCAUGCUCUUGAACCUGAGAAACCAAUAGUCAGUUUACCUAUGGAUAUUAAAUCUAUAUAUACUAUGCUUGAUCUGUCUUGCUAAUAAUAGUUACUAAACAUAUUUUAAAUUACAAUGUUUCGUGCUUCAUAGCCUGUUAUGAAACUAUUGUUCACCCAUCCAAUGCAACAAAACUAUGUGAAUGAUAAUAACGCAAUAACGAGUAGAAAGAGAGAGAGAGAGAGAGAGAGAGAGAGAGAGAGAGAGAGAGAGAUUAAAGUCCAUUUUCCCGAUGUCCAACAUAGGUCCACGAUCAGUACACCUAGGAGGAGACAAUCAAAUUAUGGACAUAAAAUAAAUAUUUACUAUGUAAAUGGUAGGUGACAAAUCUAGCCACAAAAUUGUGCAAACAACCCAUUGGCUAGUUUUAUUGAAUAUUCAAAUAACACAGUUGAUUUCUAAAACAUACAAAAUUUAUGAUCUUAUCAGCACAUAAUUAUUUUGAGAACCAUAAGGUUGGGAUUUAUCCACCCAAAAUAGGGGUGAUAACGAAACUAUUGUGUUGCUGCUGCUGCUGGUGUGCAAUUAAUCUUGCAGGGACAGUUGAUGAAGCAU
rnacentral:lncRNA from 1 species